rnacentral:rRNA from 1 species
UACAGAGGGUGCGAGCGUUAAUCGGAAUUACUGGGCGUAAAGCGCGCGUAGGCGGCUUUGCAAGUCGGGUGUGAAAUCCCCAGGCCUAACCCGGGAACUGCGUCCGAUACUGGCAGGCUUGAAUUCGGGAGAGGGAUGCGGAAUUCCAGGUGUAGCGGUGAAAUGCGUAGAUAUCUGGAGGAACACCGGUGGCGAAGGCGGCAUCCUGGACCGAGAUUGACGCUGAGGCGCGAAAGCCAGGGGAGCAAACGGG